rnacentral:misc_RNA from 1 species
GAAAUGCGAUAAGUAAUGUGAAUUGCAGAAUUCAGUGAAUCAUCGAAUCUUUGAACGCACAUUGCGCCCGCCAGUAUUCUGGCGGGCAUGCCUGUUCGAGCGUCAUUUCAACCAUCAAGCCCCCGGCUUGUGUUGGGGACCUGCGGCUGCCCGCAGGCCCUGAAAAACAGUGGCGGGCUCGCUGUCACACCGAGCGUAGUAGCAUACAUUCUCGCUCAGGGCGUGCUGCGGGUUCCGGCCGUUAAACGACCUUCAUAACCCAAGGUUGACCUCGGAUCAGGUAGGAAGACCCGCUGACCUUAAGC